UGGCUCAGGACGAACGCUGGCGGCGUGCCUAAUACAUGCAAGUCGAGCGGACUUUAAAAGCUUGCUUUUAAAGUUAGCGGCGGACGGGUGAGUAACACGUGGGCAACCUGCCUGUAAGACUGGGAUAACUUCGGGAAACCGGAGCUAAUACCGGAUAAUCCUUUUUCUCUCAUGAGGAAAAGCUGAAAGACGGUUUACGCUGUCACUUACAGAUGGGCCCGCGGCGCAUUAGCUAGUUGGUGAGGUAACGGCUCACCAAGGCAACGAUGCGUAGCCGACCUGAGAGGGUGAUCGGCCACACUGGGACUGAGACACGGCCCAGACUCCUACGGGAGGCAGCAGUAGGGAAUCUUCCGCAAUGGACGAAAGUCUGACGGAGCAACGCCGCGUGAGUGAUGAAGGUUUUCGGAUCGUAAAACUCUGUUGUUAGGGAAGAACAAGUACAAGAGUAACUGCUUGUACCUUGACGGUACCUAACCAGAAAGCCACGGCUAACUACGUGCCAGCAGCCGCGGUAAUACGUAGGUGGCAAGCGUUGUCCGGAAUUAUUGGGCGUAAAGCGCGCGCAGGCGGUCCUUUAAGUCUGAUGUGAAAGCCCACGGCUCAACCGUGGAGGGUCAUUGGAAACUGGGGGACUUGAGUGCAGAAGAGAAGAGUGGAAUUCCACGUGUAGCGGUGAAAUGCGUAGAGAUGUGGAGGAACACCAGUGGCGAAGGCGACUCUUUGGUCUGUAACUGACGC
rnacentral:rRNA from 2 species